GUCGAGAAUCUUUCACAAUGGGGGCAACCCUGAUGGAGCGACGCCGCGUGGAGGAUAAGGUCUUCGGAUUGUAAACUCCUGUCAUGCGUGAACAAGGUUGCUUGGUUAAUACCUGGGCAAAUUGAUGGUAACGCAAGAGGAAGAGACGGCUAACUCUGUGCCAGCAGCCGCGGUAAUACAGAGGUCUCAAGCGUUGUUCGGAAUCACUGGGCGUAAAGGGUGCGUAGGUGGCGUGGUAAGUCAGAUGUGAAAGCCCGGGGCUCAACCUCGGAACUGCAUCCGAUACUGCCGUACUAGAGUACUGGAGAGGUGACUAGAAUUCUCGGUGUAGCAGUGAAAUGCGUAGAUAUCGAGAGGAAUACCAAAGGCGUAGGCAGGUCACUGGACAGUUACUGACACUGAGGCACGAAGGCCAGGGGAGCGAACGGGAUUAGAUACCCUAGUAGUCC
rnacentral:rRNA from 1 species